rnacentral:rRNA from 1 species
UACAGAGGUCUCAAGCGUUGUUCGGAUUCAUUGGGCGUAAAGGGUGCGUAGGUGGCGCCGUAAGUCGGGUGUGAAAUUUCGGAGCUUAACUCCGAAACUGCAUUCGAUACUGCGAGUGCUUGAGGACUGGAGAGGAGACUGGAAUUCAUGGUGUAGCAGUGAAAUGCGUAGAGAUCAUGAGGAAGACCAGUGGCGAAGGCGGGUCUCUGGACAGUAACUGACGCUGAGGAGCGAAAGCGUGGGGGAGCGAACAGG